rfam:Arabis alpina cultivar Pajares scaff_60339_1_contig_0, whole genome shotgun sequence.
AACCCGUGAUGAGGACAAUCUCUCUGAUAUCCCUUGAACCUUUCCCACGCAGCUUUGAAAGAUUCUGAACGAAUGUUGAGAUCUUAGCUCGCAGAU